UACGAAGGGGGCUAGCGUUGCUCGGAAUCACUGGGUGUAAAGCGCACGUAGGCGGACUCUUAAGUCGGUGGUGAAAUCCUGGAGCUCAACUCCAGAACUGCCUUCGAUACUGGGAGUCUCGAGUCCGGGAGAGGUGAGUGGAACUGCGAGUGUAGAGGUGAAAUUCGUAGAUAUUCGCAAGAACACCAGUGGCGAAGGCGGCUCACUGGCCCGGUACUGACGCUGAGGUGCGAAAGCGUGGGGAGCAAACAGG
rnacentral:rRNA from 1 species